rnacentral:rRNA from 1 species
CCUACGGGAGGCAGCAGUCGAGAAUCAUUCACAAUGGGGGAAACCCUGAUGGUGCGACGCCGCGUGGGGGAAUGAAGUUCUUCGGAUUGUAACCCCCUGUCAUGUGGGAGCAAAUUAACAAGAUAGUACCACAGGAGGAAGAGACGACUAACUCUGUGCCAGCAGCCGCGGUAAUACAGAGGUUUCAAGCGUUGUUCGGAAUCACGGGGCGUAAAGCGUCCGUCGGCGGUUUCGUAAGUCGUGGGUGAAAGGCGCGGGCCCAACCCGGGGACGGCCCAUGAUACUGGGAGACUAGAGUAAGGGAGGGGGAAGCGGAAUUCUAGGUGUAGCAGUGAAAUGCGUAGAUAUCGAGAGGAACACUCGUGGCGAAGGCGGGUACCUGG